rnacentral:rRNA from 1 species
GGGAAAGCGCAGCUACACAUGCAGUCGAACGGCAGCACAGAAGAGCUUGCUCUUUGGGUGGCGAGUGGCGGACGGGUGAGUAAUGUCUGGGAAACUGCCCGAUGGAGGGGGAUAACUACUGGAAACGGUAGCUAAUACCGCAUAACGUCGCAAGACCAAAGUGGGGGACCUUCGGGCCUCACACCAUCGGAUGUGCCCAGAUGGGAUUAGCUAGUAGGUGGGGUAAUGGCUCACCUAGGCGACGAUCCCUAGCUGGUCUGAGAGGAUGACCAGCCACACUGGAACUGAGACACGGUCCAGACUCCUACGGGAGGCAGCAGUGGGGAAUAUUGCACAAUGGGCGCAAGCCUGAUGCAGCCAUGCCGCGUGUAUGAAGAAGGCCUUCGGGUUGUAAAGUACUUUCAGCGGGGAGGAAGGCGGUGAGGUUAAUAACCUUGCCGAUUGACGUUACCCGCAGAAGAAGCACCGGCUAACUCCGUGCCAGCAGCCGCGGUAAUACGGAGGGUGCAAGCGUUAAUCGGAAUUACUGGGCGUAAAGCGCACGCAGGCGGUCUGUUAAGUCAGAUGUGAAAUCCCCGGGCUUAACCUGGGAACUGCAUUUGAAACUGGCAGGCUUGAGUCUCGUAGAGGGGGGUAGAAUUCCAGGUGUAGCGGUGAAAUGCGUAGAGAUCUGGAGGAAUACCGGUGGCGAAGGCGGCCCCCCUGGACUAAAGACUGACGCUCAGGUGCGAAAAGCGUGGGGAGCAAACAGGAUUAUAUACCCCUGGUAGUCCCUCUCCGUAAACGAAUGUCCGACUUGUAGGUUGUGCCCUUGAGUAGUGGCCUUCUUGAAACUAACGCGUUAAUUCAACCCCCCAGGGGGAGUACCGGCCGCAAGGGUCAGAACACAUAUGAUCUGACCUGUCGUCUCCCUCAAGCGGGGGGACUGAUGUGGUUUGAUUUUAUUGGAACGUCGCGAGGACCGCAACCUGCCCUAGACCUCCACGAGAAACUC